rnacentral:rRNA from 1 species
AUACGUAGGUGACAAGCGUUAUCCGGAUUUACUGGGCGUAAAGGGCGUGUAGGCGGUCUUGCAAGUCAGAAGUGAAAUUCCUGAGCUCAACUCGGGCGCUGCUUCUGAAACUGCAGGACUUGAGUGCUGGAGGGGCUAGCGGAAUUCCUAGUGGAGCGGUAAAAUGCGUAGAUAUCGGGAGGAACACCAGUGGCGAAGGCGACUUCCUGGCACAAUACUGACGCUCAUGUGCGAAAGCUAGGGUAGCGAACGGGAUUAGAUACCCCGGUAGUCCUAGCCGUAAACGAUGGAUACUAGGUGUGGGUGUCGCAGGGCAUCCGUGCCGCAGCUAACGCGUUAAGUAUCCCGCCUGGGGACUACGGUCGCAAGACUGAAACUCAAAGGAAUUGACGGGG